UCACUUGAUCUUGAAAAUCCUACUUGGAUAACUGUGGUAAUUCUAGAGCUAAUACAUGCAACAAAGCUCAGGUAGCCCUUCGGGGUGACGAGCGCAAUUAUUAGAACAAAACCAAUCGGGCUUCGGUCCGUUCGGUUUGGUGGAUCUGAAUAACUAUAGCUGAUCGCACAGUCUUUGUACUGGCGACUCAUCUUUCAAGUGUCUGUCCUAUCAGCUGUCGAUGGUAUUCUAUACGAUUACCAUGGCUGUAACGGGUAACGGAGAAUUAGGGUUCGACUCCGGAGAGGGAGCCUGAGAAACGGCUACCACAUCCAAGGAAGGCAGCAGGCGCGCAAAUUACCCACUCUCGGCAUGAGGAGGUAGUGACGAAAAAUAACGAGGCGGUUCUCUAAGAGGCCCGCUAUCGGAAUGGGUACAAUUUAAACCCUUUAACGAGGACCUAUGAGAGGGCAAGUCUGGUGCCAGCAGCCGCGGUAAUUCCAGCUCUCAAGGUGUAUAUCGCCAUUGCUGCGGUUAAAAAGCUCGUAGUUGGAUCUACGGUUUUCGGAUCCGGUCCACCCAAUGGGUGCGAACUGGUUUCCAAGCCUCUAGUCGCUGGUCUAUCCUUGAUGCUCUUAA
rnacentral:rRNA from 1 species